CAGCGUGUAGUGCUGGUAGCGUAUUUCGUUCGGGACGAAAGGGUCGGGAGUUCGAAUCUCUCUACGCCGACCA
rnacentral:tRNA from 1 species